rnacentral:rRNA from 1 species
ACGCUGGCGGCGUGGAUUAGGCAUGCAAGUCGAACGCGAAAGUCUUUCUUCGGAGAGGCGAGUAGAGUGGCGGACGGGUUAGUAACGCGUAGGUAAUCUACCUUUAAGAGGGGGAUAGCCCCGGGAAACCGGGAUUAAUACCGCAUGUGUUCCGGAGUGAUUCGGAAUAAAGGUGGCCUCUGUUUCAAGCUACCGCUUAGAGAUGAGCCUGCGUCCUAUUAGCUAGUUGGUGAGGUAAGAGCUCACCAAGGCGAUGAUAGGUAGGCGGCCUUAACGGGUGGUCGCCAACGCUGGGAUUGAGAUACGGCCCAGACUCCUACGGGAGGCAGCAGUCGAGAAUAGUCUACAAUGGGGGAAACCCUGAUAGUGCGACGCCGCGUGGAUGAGGAAGCAUUUCGGUGUGUAAAAUCCUUUUCUGUUUGAGCAAGAUAUAUAAGCAGAAAUGUUUAUAUAUUUGAUAUUAGAGCAGGAAUAAGCCACGGCUAACUCCGUGCCAGCAGCCGCGGUAACACGGGGGUGGCGAGCGUUGUCCGGAAUUACUAGGCGUAAAGGGCAAGUAGGCGGAAUAAUAAGUUAGGUGUUAAAUACACUGGCUCAACCAGUGCGUAGCAUUUAAUACUGUUAUUCUAGAGUAAGGUGAGGGAAGUCGGAAUUCCUGGUGUAGCGGUGGAAUGCGCAGAUAUCAGGAAGAACACCGGAGGCGAAGGCGGACUUCUGUACCAUUACUGACGCUGAAUUGCGAAGGUGUGGGUAUCAAACAGGAUUAGA